rnacentral:rRNA from 1 species
CCUACGGGGUGCACCAGUGGGGAAUUUUCCGCAAUGGGCGAAAGCCUGACGGAGCAAUGCCGCGUGGAAGUAGAAGGCCCACGGGUCGUGAACUUCUUUUCCCGGAGAAGAAGCAAUGACGGUAUCUGGGGGAUAAGCAUCGGCUAACUCUGUGCCAGCAGCCGCGGUAAUACAGAGGAUGCAAGCGUUAUCCGGAAUGAUUGGGCGUAAAGCGUCUGUAGGUGGCUUUUUAAGUCCGCCGUCAAAUCCCAGGGCUCAACCCUGGACAGGCGGUGGAAACUACCAAGCUGGAGUACGGUAGGGGCAGAGGGAAUUUCCGGUGGAGCGGUGAAAUGCGUAGAGAACGGAAAGAACACCAACGGCGAAAGCACUCCGCUGGGCCGACACUGACACUGAGAGACGAAAGCUAGGGGAGCGAAUGGGAUUAGAUACCCCAGUAGUC